AUUGAACGCUGGCGGCAUGCUUUACACAUGCAAGUCGAACGGCAGCGCUGGCUUCGGCCUGGCGGCUAGUGGCGAACGGGUGAGUAAUACAUCGGAAAGCUCCCACUAGUGGGGGAUAGCCCGGCGGAAACGGGAUUUAAAACCCCUACGACCUGUAGGUGCGAACGGGGGACCGAUAAGCCUCGCGCUCUUGGAGGGGCGGGUGUCGGGUUAGCUAGGUGGUGGGGUAAAGGCAUACCAAGGCGACGCUACGUAGCUGGUCUGAGAGGACGAGCAGCCACACUGGGACUGAGACACGGCCCAGACUCCUACGGGAGGCAGCAGUGGGGAAUUUUGGACAAUGGGGGCAACCGUGAUCCAGCAAUGCCGCGUGAGGGAAGAAGGCCUUCGGGUGGUAAAGCGCUGUUGUCCGGGAAGAAAUCCUGUGCGCUAAUACCGCGGGGGGAUGACGGUACCGGAAGAAUAAGCACCGGCUAACUACGUG
rnacentral:rRNA from 1 species